AUUGAACGCUGGCGGCAUGCCUUACACAUGCAAGUCGAACGGCAGCGGACCUUCGGGUGCCGGCGAGUGGCGAACGGGUGAGUAAUAUAUCGGAACGUACCUUUCAGUGGGGGAUAACGUAGCGAAAGUUACGCUAAUACCGCAUAUUCUGUGAGCAGGAAAGCAGGGGAUCGCAAGACCUUGCGCUGAUUGAGCGGCCGAUAUCAGAUUAGCUAGUUGGUGAGGUAAAGGCUCACCAAGGCGACGAUCUGUAGCGGGUCUGAGAGGAUGAUCCGCCACACUGGAACUGAGACACGGUCCAGACUCCUACGGGAGGCAGCAGUGGGGAAUUUUGGACAAUGGGCGGCAAGACCUCGAUCCAGCCACUGCCGCGUGAGUGAAGAAAGGCC
rnacentral:rRNA from 1 species